AGUCAGCCUGCUCAAUGAAUUUAUAAAUAGCGCAGUUUCCUGGCUAAGGUAGCAUAAUAACUUGCCUUUUAAUUAAAGGCUAGAAUGAAAGGUAUAACAUGUUGAAGACUUUAUUAUUCCUUUUAACCGAACUUUACUUUUUAGUAAGAAGGCUAAAAUCAUAAAGUAGACGACAAGACCCUGGCAAACUUUACACUAAUGUUUUACUGGGGGGGUAAAAAACUUUAUCUUUUAAUCUUAACUACUAAAAAUAUUUAUUUAUUCAAGUUACUGCAGGGAUAACAGCAUAAUUUUUUCCUAAAGACCUUAUACAAGAAAAAGUUUGUGACCUCGAUGUUGAAUUAGGAACCUAUAAAGAGCAAAAUCUUUACAAGUAAGUCUGUUCGACUUUUAAUAUCCUACAUGAUUUGAGUUCAGACCGGCGUAAGCCAGGUCGGUUUCUAUCUCUUCUCCUAAAUUUUUAGUACGAAAGGACCAAAAUUUGAAUCUUUUAUUAG
rnacentral:rRNA from 1 species